rnacentral:sRNA from 1 species
AGUGUUAUGGCAUUAGUUACUU